AUUAUUAUUUAAAUUUUUGGAGUUAAAUGCAGCUUUAAUAUUAAUGAAAGUAUACUUACUGUGCUAUAAGAAAUAAAUUUAAUAUAUAAUAAUAUGUUAAAUGUGCCAAACAAACAUAACUACAUUUAUUGAAAAGCCUGGAUUGUAGUACAAAAUCGACAGUAUUAUUUCAACAAGAUAUUUUUCUUUACAUUAUUAAAAUGAUUUAAAUGGCAAUGAAUGUUUUUAAUUUUGGUUUUUUUUUUUACUAAAAAAAUAAAAUAAGUACUUUAAAUUUAUUUUAAUUCCUAACCUUUCAAAUUAUUCAUAGUUUUUAGUUGUUUAAGGUUUAAUUUUGUUGUGUGACAAUUUCUUGUUUUUAAAAUGUAUUAACUGUAUCAAUCUAUUCAGUAUUUAUAAUUUAUUGGUAUAUUUAGAAAAAAUAAAUUUAAGUGUAAUGCAAUUUGCAAUAA